rnacentral:rRNA from 1 species
GAUGAACGCUGGCGGCGUGCCUAAUACAUGCAAGUCGAGCGAACGGACGAGAAGCUUGCUUUUCUGAUGUUAGCGGCGGACGGGUGAGUAACACGUGGAUAACCUACCUAUAAGACUGGGAUAACUUCGGGAAACCGGAGCUAAUACCGGAUAAUAUUUUGAACCGCAUGGUUCAUAAGUGAAAGACGGUCUUGCUGUCACUUAUAGAUGGAUCCGCGCUGCAUUAGCUAGUUGGUAAGGUAACGGCUUACCAAGGCGACGAUGCAUAGCCGACCUGAGAGGGUGAUCGGCCACACUGGAACUGAGACACGGUCCAGACUCCUACGGGAGGCAGCAGUAGGGAAUCUUCCGCAAUGGGCGAAAGCCUGACGGAGCAACGCCGCGUGAGUGAUGAAGGUCUUCGGAUCGUAAAACUCUGUUAUUAGGGAAGAACAUAUGUGUAAGUAACUGUGCACAUCUUGACGGUACCUAAUCAGAAAGCCACGGCUAACUACGUG